UUCUCAGGUACAUUACUGCUACAACGCGCGAGAUAAUGAACCUUCACAAAACAACUCAAAUAAUAAAUAAUACAAACAAAAACAUUCAAUAUUUACAAAAUUUACACCAAAUUAAAAUAAAUAAGUUAACAUAAAUCAUGCAAAAACAAAUUAAAAUAAUUAUUAAAAAUCAUCCCGAAUUAUGGGUAGACAACUCUAUAGUUAUGUUGCGCAACAAAAUAAUUAUGUACAGAAUUUACAAGUUUGGAUCACUUUCGAUCUCCAAGGGGUGAUUCAACCUCAAGUGAAGCCCCUGCAGCAAACUGUCUCUGCAGUUGACAGAUGCCAAAACGUCACCACACUAACACAUCGCCGAACUGUCAGAGCAUAACGCAAUGUUUACAUCUGAUAAUUCAGUUCGGUCGACUGUUAAGUGCGCGAGCGUUUUUUUUUUCGUCGUUUUCGGUGGUUUUGGACGAAGUUUCGUCCGAUAUGUUCAGGCUUGGCACUUCUGGCCGGUAUUUUGGUUGGCAGAGUCCCCUCACUGCCGCUCCACAGUCGACGCUCGGACGCAAGGGCACUACGGAUAACCCCUUGGUCGUCUCGUCGGACUGCCAGCGCAGCUAUGGACCUCCAACAUAAGCAUAAAGGUGUUUAGUAACGACUAACCUUCUCCGCAGAUGCUCAUCGGGUCUUCGGGUCGAACCGACAGCGAGU